rnacentral:tRNA from 1 species
GUUUUAAUAAUUUAAUAAAAAUAUUGGUCUUGUAAACCAAAUUUAAGGUCCUAAACCUUUUAAAACU